GUUCUGUUUCGUCAUCAGAAAAUAUACAAAAAAGGAGAUAUAUUGCAAUGAUGGAGAUGUGUCGAAUUGUUGGAGACAGAAAUAAGCUUAUUACCAUAUUGCUUCUGGUUUCUGAAAAUGUCAUGAACAUUAUCCUGUUCCAUUUUCAAGACAGUUCUUAUGAAUGUAAUUCUAGUGAGUC